rnacentral:rRNA from 1 species
GUAGUAACACGUGGGUGAUCUGCCCUGCACUUCGGGAUGAGCCUGGGAAACUGGGUCUAAUACCGGAUAGGAGCCAUUUUUAGUGUGAUGGUUGGAAAGUUUUUCGGUGUAGGAUGAGCUCGCGGCCUAUCAGCUUGUUGGUGGGGUAAUGGCCUACCAAGGCGGCGACGGGUAGCCGGCCUGAGAGGGUGGACGGCCACAUUGGGACUGAGAUACGGCCCAG